rnacentral:rRNA from 2 species
AGAGUUUGAUCCUGGCUCAGGAUGAACGCUAGCUACAGGCUUAACACAUGCAAGUCGAGGGGCAGCAUGGUCUUAGCUUGCUAAGGCUGAUGGCGACCGGCGCACGGGUGAGUAACACGUAUCCAACCUGCCGUCUACUCUUGGCCAGCCUUCUGAAAGGAAGAUUAAUCCAGGAUGGCAUCAUGAGUUCACAUGUCCGCAUGAUUAAAGGUAUUUUCCGGUAGACGAUGGGGAUGCGUUCCAUUAGAUAGUAGGCGGGGUAACGGCCCACCUAGUCAACGAUGGAUAGGGGUUCUGAGAGGAAGGUCCCCCACAUUGGAACUGAGACACGGUCCAAACUCCUACGGGAGGCAGCAGUGAGGAAUAUUGGUCAAUGGGCGAUGGCCUGAACCAGCCAAGUAGCGUGAAGGAUGACUGCCCUAUGGGUUGUAAACUUCUUUUAUAAAGGAAUAAAGUCGGGUAUGCAUACCCGUUUGCAUGUACUUUAUGAAUAAGGAUCGGCUAACUCCGUGCCAGCAGCCGCGGUAAUACGGAGGAUCCGAGCGUUAUCCGGAUUUAUUGGGUUUAAAGGGAGCGUAGAUGGAUGUUUAAGUCAGUUGUGAAAGUUUGCGGCUCAACCGUAAAAUUGCAGUUGAUACUGGAUGUCUUGAGUGCAGUUGAGGCAGGCGGAAUUCGUGGUGUAGCGGUGAAAUGCUUAGAUAUCACGAAGAACUCCGAUUGCGAAGGCAGCCUGCUAAGCUGCAACUGACAUUGAGGCUCGAAAGUGUGGGUAUCAAACAGGAUUAGAUACCCUGGUAGUCCACACGGUAAACGAUGAAUACUCGCUGUUUGCGAUAUACGGCAAGCGGCCAAGCGAAAGCGUUAAGUAUUCCACCUGGGGAGUACGCCGGCAACGGUGAAACUCAAAGGAAUUGACGGGGGCCCGCACAAGCGGAGGAACAUGUGGUUUAA